rnacentral:rRNA from 1 species
CAGCAGCCGCCGCGGGAAUACAGAGGGUGCGAGCGUUAAUCGGAUUUACUGGGCGUAAAGCGUGCGUAGGCGGCUUUUUAAGUUGGAUGUGAAAUCCCUGAGCUUAACUUAGGAAUUGCAUUCGAUACUGGGAAGCUAGAGUAUGGGAGAGGAUGGUAGAAUUCCAGGUGUAGCGGUGAAAUGCGUAGAGAUCUGGAGGAAUACCGAUGGCGAAGGCAGCCAUCUGGCCUAAUACUGACGCUGAGGUACGAAAGCAUGGGGAGCAAACAGGAUUAGAUACCCGUGUAGUCCCUGUCUCUUAUAC